rnacentral:rRNA from 1 species
UACGUAGGGGGCAAGCGUUGUCCGGAAUCAUUGGGCGUAAAGAGCGCGUAGGCGGUCCGGUAAGUCCGCUCUGAAAGCCCGGGGCUCAACCCCGGGAGGCGGGCGGAUACUGCCGGGCUAGAGUCCGGAAGAGGCGAGUGGAAUUCCUGGUGUAGCGGUGAAAUGCGCAGAUAUCAGGAAGAACACCCGUGGCGAAGGCGGUUCUCUGGGACGGUACUGACGCUGAGACGCGAAAGCGUGGGGAGCGAACAGG